rnacentral:lncRNA from 1 species
CCUAUCUUGCCGUUUGCUGUUCACGUGCGUACCAGCUGCGUAACAACAACACAACGUGCGCAGCAGAUCUCACAGAUGUUCCAUCGCAGUUCCAUCGGAGUGAUGCAAUGACCGGGUGCUCUGCUUUCAACUGCACCAAUCGCUCAGAAAGCGGAAAGGCAUUUUAUUCGAUACCAUGUGGGAGAUAGGUUAUUGGGCGCCGACUGCAGUGUUUGCUUCGAAUGCAACGUCAGAAAGUCGCGCCAAGAGGGUCAAGGAUAUGCGAGACUCACCCUUACAAGUCGCACGGGGAGAAGCACCUCAUCAUGUCGCCACAUCAAGAUCACACGACUCAACAAUGGAAAUGGCGCAAGAGACCCCUCAC